GACGGAGGGGGCAAGCGUUGUUCGGAAUUAUUGGGCGUAAAGGGCUCGUAGGCGGACCUGUAAGUUUGACGUGAAAUCUCCACCGCUCACCGGGGAGGGGCCGUUGAAUACUGCAGGUCUGGAGUUCGGCAGAGGACCAUGGAAUUCCAGGUGUAGCGGUGGAAUGCGUAGAUAUCAGGAGGAACACCUGUGGCGAAAGCGGCUCACUGGACCAUAACUGACGCUGAUGCACGAAAGCUAGGGGAGCAAACAGG
rnacentral:rRNA from 1 species